AUAUUUAAUUAUGCCGAAAUUUCAAAAAUAUCUUAUUUAUCUUUGGAUGACUAAAAUAUUCUUAUUUAUUUGAAAAAAUUUCUUCAAAUAUCUCCUUGCCCUUCGGGGUUCACUAAUGAAAUUGGGAUCUGGAAGGGUAUUUUGAGAAAUGAGAGGUGAACUUAAAAAUUUUGAAUAGCAGUAGGCAGUAUAUAAGCAAAAGUCUGUAAGAAUUUUAUGUUACGGUUUGAAUGUUGAAAUAAGUUAUCCAAUGAUACUUUAUUCUGUGUAAGAAUAAUAGUAUGUGAUUGGAAGUAAGGAAAUUAUGUUUUGAUCAUUGAAAAAUCUCGGGAUACGUGAUUUGUCAUUCCUUAUCUAUCAAAUAGUAUAAGUCCUUAAAAUAAAUUAAACACUUACGAUAUUUAUGCAUCUAAAUAACAUUAAAGUGAUGUUUUAAAAAAUUAUGGUAUUGUACUUUUGGACAAACAACAUAUUUAGGGGUGAGAAAAGAUGAGAUACUAUUCGAAAUAUCUGCAUCUGGAUAGAAAAUAUUUGGAUUCGGUUGGAUAUGGAUAUAGAUAUGAUUUUAGAGAGUUAAAAUUUUCUGGACAUUUGAAAUUAAAAAAAGGAUUAGGAUAUUGAUAUAUGGAUAUUUUAAUUGAAUUAUAGUUUAUAUUAAUAAAUUACAUUAGAAUAUUAUAUUCUAAUAUCUCAUUCCUCCCAUCGCCUUAUCCCAAUAUCCCAUUCCCUGUUUCAGUAUUGUGGUUUCAAGUUUCUAGAUAUGGAAAAAAAAAACUUCAAGAUUUGAUUACUAAUAGGCUAAAUUACAUAAAACCCCUAUGUCAAAACCCGAUUUUUCACUUUCCCCCCAUGUCAUUUAAAAACCUACACUUUGCCUCCUUGUAAAAUAAAAAAUGUUCACUUCGCCCCCUACCGUUAGUAAUCCGUUAGGAUUCUGUUUAUAAAAUAUUAUUAUAUCUUUUUUAUGCCAAAAAUACCCUCAGCCUUCUUUCCUGUGAACAUGGUGAGGGGCAAAAUGGUGAGGGACAAAAUGGUCAUUUUAUCAUCACAAUUCACACCGUACCCUCCUAUAAAUAUUUUUCAUUUUAUAAGGGGGCAAAGUGUAGGUUUUUAAAUGACAGGGAAAAAAAGUGAAAAAUUGGAUUUUGACAGGGGAGUUUUUCUAUAAUUUAGCCUUACUAAUAUGCGUGGGGAGAUAAGGAGAACUUAAUUACUUUUUUUUUUUGGGAGAUAAAGAUUGUUUAAUUUCUAUUUGUGGGGAUAUAAGGAGAAGUUUCUUUGCUUUUUUAGGGAGAUAAGGAGGAUGGGUUACUAUAGGUUGUGGGAAAAGAAUGUGAUUUUUUUGAUCUUUUACGUAUAUUUUAUUAUUAUUUUUAUAUAGAAAUUGUAUUUAUGUUUGUUAAAUUUUAGAUUUUAUUCAAUCGAAUAUAGAUAUAUAAAAAUUUGAAUAUGAAUCUGAAAUUUUAGUUGCAUUAC
rnacentral:lncRNA from 1 species